CCUACGGGAGGCAGCAGUGAGGAAUAUUGGACAAUGGGCGCAAGCCUGAUCCAGCCAUGCCGCGUGCAGGAAGACGGUCCUAUGGAUUGUAAACUGCUUUUGUACGGGAAGAAACACUCCUUCGUGAAGGAGCUUGACGGUACCGUAAGAAUAAGGAUCGGCUAACUCCGUGCCAGCAGCCGCGGUAAUACGGAGGAUCCAAGCGUUAUCCGGAAUCAUUGGGUUUAAAGGGUCCGUAGGCGGUUUAGUAAGUCAGUGGUGAAAGCCCAUCGCUCAACGGUGGAACGGCCAUUGAUACUGCUAGACUUGAAUUAUUAGGAAGUAACUAGAAUAUGUAGUGUAGCGGUGAAAUGCUUAGAGAUUACAUGGAAUACCAAUUGCGAAGGCAGGUUACUACUAAUGGAUUGACGCUGAUGGACGAAAGCGUGGGUAGCGAACAGGAUUAGAUACCCUGGUAGUCCACGCCGUAAACGAUGGAUACUAGCUGUUGGGCGCAAGUUCAGUGGCUAAGCGAAAGUGAUAAGUAUCCACCUGGGGAGUACGUUCGCAAGAAUGAAACUUAAAUGAAUUGACGG
rnacentral:rRNA from 1 species